UACGAAGGGGGCUAGCGUUGCUCGGAAUCACUGGGCGUAAAGGGUGCGUAGGCGGGUCGUUAAGUCAGGGGUGAAAUCCUGGAGCUCAACUCCAGAACUGCCCUUGAUACUGAGGAUCUUGAGUUCGGGAGAGGUGAGUGGAACUGCGAGUGUAGAGGUGAAAUUCGUAGAUAUUCGCAAGAACACCAGUGGCGAAGGCGGCUCACUGGCCCGAUACUGACGCUGAGGCACGAAAGCGUGGGGAGCAAACAGG
rnacentral:rRNA from 1 species